GCAGAGUAGGAAUAUGCGCGUUAAGUGCCGCCCGGACGGGGAGUUGCCGGGUGGACGAAGAGUAAUCAAGUGAGGACAUUUCCCAAUAGCAUGAUUACUUGCGGUGCACAUUCCGCAUCCCGCUGC
rnacentral:ncRNA from 1 species